AGGACGAACGCUGGCGGCGUGCUUAACACAUGCAAGUCGAACGAUGAACCACUUCGGUGGGGAUUAGUGGCGAACGGGUGAGUAACACGUGGGCAAUCUGCCCUGCACUCUGGGACAAGCCCUGGAAACGGGGUCUAAUACCGGAUAACACUACGGGCCUCAUGGUCUGUGGUUAAAAGCUCCGGCGGUGCAGGAUGAGCCCGCGGCCUAUCAGCUUGUUGGUGAGGUAAUGGCUCACCAAGGCGACGACGGGUAGCCGGCCUGAGAGGGCGACCGGCCACACUGGGACUGAGACACGGCCCAGACUCCUACGGGAGGCAGCAGUGGGGAAUAUUGCACAAUGGGCGAAAGCCUGAUGCAGCGACGCCGCGUGAGGGAUGACGGCCUUCGGGUUGUAACCGUCUUUCAGCAGGGAAGAAGCGAAAGUGACGGUACCUGCAGAAGAAGCGCCGGCUAACUACGCGCCAGCAGCCGCGGU
rnacentral:rRNA from 1 species